GACGAACGCUGGCGGCGUGCUUAACACAUGCCAGUCGAACGGAAAGGCCCUGCUUUUGUGGGGUGCUCGAGUGGCGAACGGGUGAGUAACACGUGAGUAACCUGCCCUUGACUUUGGGAUAACUUCAGGAAACUGGGGCUAAUACCGGAUAGGAGCUCCUGCUGCAUGGUGGGGGUUGGAAAGUUUCGGCGGUUGGGGAUGGACUCGCGGCUUAUCAGCUUGUUGGUGGGGUAGUGGCUUACCAAGGCUUUGACGGGUAGCCGGCCUGAGAGGGUGACCGGCCACAUUGGGACUGAGAUACGGCCCAGAAUCCUACGGGAGGCAGCAGUGGGGAAUAUUGCACAAUGGGCGGAAGCCUGAUGCAGAAACGCCGCGUGCGGGAUGACGGCCUUCGGGUUGUAAACCGCUUUCGCCUGUGACGAAGCGUGAGUGACGGUAAUGGGUAAAGAAGCACCGGCUAACUACGUG
rnacentral:rRNA from 1 species